UACAGAGGUGGCGAGCGUUACUCGGAUUUAUUGGGUGUAAAGGGCAGGUAGGCGUCCUGCUAAGUCUUGGGUGAAAUCCUUUCGCUUAACGAAAGAACUGCCCAAGAAACUGGCAGGAUUGAGGCUAGAAGAGGAGAACGGAAUUCCCGGUGUAAGGGUGAAAUCUGUAGAUAUCGGGAAGAACACCAGUGGCGAAAGCGGUUCUCUAGUCUAGCUCUGACGCUAAGCUGCGAAAGCUCGGGGAG
rnacentral:rRNA from 1 species